rnacentral:piRNA from 1 species
UGUCAACCGGGACAGCGACGAAGCCACC